AUCAGCCAGGCAGUCUCCAGCGUUGGACACAAGCAAGCAGAGAAGGGUGGUGACAGCAACAGGCCCUAUCCAGGAAGCACUUGGCAAGGCAACAGGCCAGGAAUGUUGGAUGUGCCACACUCUACCUAUUAAUUGACUUCUCAACUGAAAGGAGUGUUUUUGCAAAUACAUGAUGCUGCAGAGAAGCUGAGAAAGCUUGCUUGGGAUUCCUCCUGUGAAAUGAACUUCAGAGGCAGGCUGAUACCUAUUUUGGAGCAGUAUGGAAGAAAUAAAUGCUGUUCCCAGUAAUUAGAUGCCUCUUCUGUAAAUAAGGCUAGCAGUUGGAAGUGACAAAUUCUCCUGCAUUUAAAAAACAAUGAAAGGGAAAUUCUAUCAUUUCUCUGAAAGAUGCAUUUUAAAUUCAUCUCCUGACUAAAUCUUCAUGGCUCUUCUAUGCUGCUUUUAUUUAAAUCAUUUCUGCCUCUGGUUUCUAGCAAGUUUCUCUAAGAAUACAGGCAGUACAGAAAAGUUACAAGUAGUUGAGUUUGGUGAAGAUGUGGGUUUUCAAAUGUCCUUCAAUAUUUGCAUUUUUUUUUUCCCACAGCGCAACUUUUGGGGUCAUUUGAGUAUGUGAAAAAUCUGAACUUCCAUUUAGAAAAAAAGGAAAAAGCAAAAAGAAGUAAGUCUUUAGCUCCUAUUACUGAAGAUAAACAUUUCAAAUAUAUGAAUUGUAAAGUCUCACAAGCCGAAAGACAAACAAAAUGAACCUUACGCUUAUUAAUUUUUAAGUGUCAUGAUAUUUAAGCCAAUCACAUAAUUUUUGAGUGUUUGUGCUCCAUGAUAUUUGAAUGUCUGGUUUCAAAAUGCUGAACUUUAUAGUAUUAUUUCCUACCUAUUUUAUAUUUAUAGUAUUGAGGCCUAAAGUUCCAAGCUUUAGCAAACUAGAAUGCUUUCUUGUCCUGGGGUGAUAAAUCCCCCCCAAAUAAUGGAAAUACUGACAGAACUUUAACUACACUGUCUCAAAUGAGACACAAUGAUUUUUAGCUUCUAAUUAAAUGCAUAUUUCUU
ensembl:lncRNA